AGGACGAACGCUGGCGGCGUGCUUAACACAUGCAAGUCGAACGGAAAGGCCCGCUUGCGGGUACUCGAGUGGCGAACGGGUGAGUAACACGUGGGCAACCUGCCCUCAGCUCUGGGAUAACUCCGGGAAACCGGUGCUAAUACUGGAUAUCGACUUCUGCUCGCAUGGGUGGUUGUUGAAAGUUUUUCGGCUGGGGAUGGGCCCGCGGCCUAUCAGCUUGUUGGUGGGGUAAUGGCCUACCAAGGCGACGACGGGUAGCCGGCCUGAGAGGGCGACCGGCCACACUGGGACUGAGACACGGCCCAGACUCCUACGGGAGGCAGCAGUGGGGAAUAUUGCGCAAUGGGCGGAAGCCUGACGCAGCGACGCCGCGUGAGGGAUGACGGCCUUCGGGUUGUAAACCUCUUUCAGCUCUGACGAAGCGAGAGUGACGGUAGGAGCAGAAGAAGCACCGGCCAACUACGUGCCAGCAGCCGCGGUAA
rnacentral:rRNA from 1 species